rnacentral:rRNA from 1 species
GUGAACGCUAGCGGUGUGGAUAAGGCAUGCAAGUCGUACGGAACGAAGAUAUCGCGCAAGCGAAAUCUCCGUUUAGUGGCAAACGGGGCAGCAAUACCCUGGAAUCUACCUUCGAGUCGGAGAUAAUUCCGCGAAAGCGGAACUAAUAUCCGAUGGUUUCGCAAGAAUAAAGGCGCAAGCCGCUCGAAGAUGAGCCUGGGGCCGAUCAGCUAGUUGGUGGGGUAAUGGCUCACCAAGGCUAUGACCGGUAGGGGGCGUGAGAGCGCGUUCCUCGCCAGGGAAACUGAGACACGGUUCCCACUCCUACGGGAGGCAGCAGCCGAGAAUAUUCCACAAUGGACGAAAGUCUGAUGGAGCGACACCGCGUGCCGGAAGAAGCCCUUCGGGGUGUAAACGGCUUUUGCCAGGGAGGAAUGCCAACGCAAGUUGGUAUGACAGUACCUGGAGAAUAAGAGACGACUAACUUCGU